CAACAUCUGGGACCACCACUACAUCAGAAACGACACCAACAACUGAGACCACAACCAGCACUACAUCAGAAACGACACCAACAACUGAGAUCAC